AUUGAACGCUGGCGGCAUGCUUUACACAUGCAAGUCGGACGAGUGGCGAACGGGUGAGUAACGCAUCGGAACGUACCGAGUAAUGGGGGAUAACUGUCCGAAAGGACAGCUAAUACCGCAUAUUAUUCGAGCGGCCGAUGUCUGAUUAGCUGGUUGGCGGGGAAAAGGCCCACCAAGGCGACGAUCAGUAGCGGGGCUGAGAGGAGGAUCCCCAAGACGUUGACUGAUACACGGCCCAUACUCCGACGGGAGGCAGCAGUGGGGAAUUUUGGAUAGUGGGCGCAAGCCUGAUCCAGGCAUGCCGCGUGUCUGAAGAGGGCCUUGGGGUUGUAAAGGACUUUUGUCAGGGAAGCGGUACCUGAAGAAGAAGCACCGGCUAAUAACGUGACAGCCGCCGCGGUAAUU
rnacentral:rRNA from 1 species